UGUUCUGACAUGGGAAGAGUAGCUUCUGGUUGGUGGAGCCCAUCUCACAUUAGCCAGAGACAAAGCAACACCUUGUUUAUCCCGGCUUGGCUUUUGGCCUGUGUCCAUGACUGGUCCAUACCUUGGACACAUGG
rnacentral:snoRNA from 10 species